AAAGUUAUACUCCUGGAGCACU
rnacentral:misc_RNA from 1 species